rnacentral:rRNA from 1 species
GAUGAACGCUAGCGGGAGGCCUAACACAUGCAAGCCGAGCGGUAUUUGUCUUUCGGGACAGAGAGAGCGGCGUACGGGUGCGGAACACGUGUGCAACCUGCCUUUAUCUGGGGGAUAGCCUUUCGAAAGGAAGAUUAAUACCCCAUAAUAUAAUGAAUGGCAUCAUUUAUUAUUGAAAACUCCGGUGGAUAGAGAUGGGCACGCGCAAGAUUAGAUAGUUGGUAGGGUAACGGCCUACCAAGUCAGUGAUCUUUAGGGGGCCUGAGAGGGUGAUCCCCCACACUGGUACUGAGACACGGACCAGACUCCUACGGGAGGCAGCAGUGAGGAAUAUUGGACAAUGGGUGAGAGCCUGAUCCAGCCAUCCCGCGUGAAGGACGACGGCCCUAUGGGUUGUAAACUUCUUUUGUAUAGGGAUAAACCUUUCCACGUGUGGAAAGCUGAAGGUACUAUACGAAUAAGCACCGGCUAACUCCGUGCCAGCAGCCGCGGUAAUACGGAGGGUGCAAGCGUUAUCCGGAUUUAUUGGGUUUAAAGGGUCCGUAGGCGGAUCUGUAAGUCAGUGGUGAAAUCUCACAGCUUAACUGUGAAACUGCCAUUGAUACUGCAGGUCUUGAGUGAGGUAGAAGUAGCUGGAAUAAGUAGUGUAGCGGUGAAAUGCAUAGAUAUUACUUAGAACACCAAUUGCGAAGGCAGGUUACUAUGUCUUAACUGACGCUGAUGGACGAAAGCGUGGGGAGCGAACAGGAUUAGAUACCCUGGUAGUCCACGCCGUAAACGAUGCUAACUCGUUUUUGGGUUUUCGGAUUCAGAGACUAAGCGAAAGUGAUAAGUUAGCCACCUGGGGAGUACGAACGCAAGUUUGAAACUCAAAGGAAUUGACGGGGGCCCGCACAAGCGGUGGAUUAUGUGGUUUAAUUCGAUGAUACGCGAGGAACCUUACCAAGGCUUAAAUGGGAAUUGAUCGGUUUAGAAAUAGACCUUCCUUCGGGCAAUUUUCAAGGUGCUGCAUGGUUGUCGUCAGCUCGUGCCGUGAGGUGUUAGGUUAAGUCCUGCAACGAGCGCAACCCCUGUCACUAGUUGCCAUCAUUAAGUUGGGGACUCUAGUGAGACUGCCUACGCAAGUAGAGAGGAAGGUGGGGAUGACGUCAAAUCAUCACGGCCCUUACGCCUUGGGCCACACACGUAAUACAAUGGCCGGUACAGAGGGCAGCUACCUAGCGAUAGGAUGCAAAUCUCGAAAGCCGGUCUCAGUUCGGAUUGGAGUCUGCAACUCGACUCUAUGAAGCUGGAAUCGCUAGUAAUCGCGCAUCAGCCAUGGCGCGGUGAAUACGUUCCCGGGCCU